GGAGGUAAAAGUCGUAACAAGGUCUCCGUUGGUGAACCAGCGGAGGGAUCAUUAUCGAGUUUAUAACUCCCAAACCCUAUGUGAACUUACCACUUGUUGCUUCGGCGCGCGCUUCGGUGCCGCCGAGGACACUUAAACUCUUUGUUUUUAUAAGCAUUUCUGAGUGGCCGAAAGGCAAAAUACAAAUGAAUCAAAACUUUCAACAACGGAUCUCUUGGUUCUG
rnacentral:misc_RNA from 1 species